rnacentral:rRNA from 1 species
UAGAGUUUGAUCAUGGCUCAGGAUGAACGCUAGCGACAGGCCUAACACAUGCAAGUCGAGGGGCAGCACGGUGUAGCAAUACACGGGUGGCGACCGGCGCACGGGUGAGUAACGCGUAUGCAACCUGCCUACUACAAGGGGAUAACCCGUUGAAAGACGGACUAAUACCCUAUAACACAGGGGAUCCGCAUGGAUAUAUUUGUUAAAGAUUUAUCGGUAGUAGAUGGGCAUGCGUUCCAUUAGCUUGUUGGUGAGGUAACGGCUCACCAAGGCAACGAUGGAUAGGGGAACUGAGAGGUUGAUCCCCCACACUGGAACUGAGACACGGUCCAGACUCCUACGGGAGGCAGCAGUGAGGAAUAUUGGUCAAUGGACGAGAGUCUGAACCAGCCAAGUCGCGUGAAGGAAGACGGCCCUACGGGUUGUAAACUUCUUUUGUAAGGGAAUAAAUAGUCUUACGGGCUAAGACGUCGCAGGUACCUUACGAAUAAGGAUCGGCUAACUCCGUGCCAGCCGCCGCGGUAAUACA